UCAUUAAUUUAGAAGCCUAAUAUGGUUUCCCCAAUUAGUUGUGUAUAACUUGGACAUGUUUGAGCCCGUGUUUGGGACUUUUUAUAAAGAUGAAAUGCUCAUGAUUUUAAAUGAUGAGGAACUUUGCCAUGAGGCUCGAAUUUAUACUAGGAUUUCGUGUCCAAUGAACUUUGAUAAAUUUCCUUUUGACUCCCAGGAGUGUUAUUUUCAAAUUGGAUCUAAAAUACCAAAUACUCACAUUUCCUUUAACUUGGAGUACUUAAAUGGAUUCAAGAAUGGGAGUACGUUUUCAGAGUAUUCCAUGAAAUUAUCCCCACUCCCAAAAUU
rnacentral:lncRNA from 1 species